GAAUAUUAGUGUCGUCUGCUUUCGUUUUGAGCACGAAAAACAGCACAACAAAUAAAAUUACAAAAAUGUGGUCGUCGUGUCUACUCUGGUCGCGUCUCGUUAUAGAAUAGUUGAACAUACACUCCGUGCUGUUUAUAGCAGAUUUGAGGCCAGAACCAGCCAUCAUAGCUACAAGAUAUGCAAGUUUUCCUUGUACUGGAUCUGUCAUCAGCAACAGUCUGUAUCAUGCCUUGGGUAAACAGCAUCCAGUUUGAUUAGAGAUACUACCGAUGUUGAUCGAAUUCCGAAUCUCUUCUUCCCCUUUCUCUAAAUGUUCUCGUGUACACCCAUGUGAGUGAGGAUGUAUUCACGAUGAUGAUCCCCUCUUCCCAUCAUCUGGUGGAUUCAACUUUUGGAUGGAGCACUUGUGGAUGUCUGGCUGUAUUUCCCAGGCUUAAAGGUAGGACAAAUUAAAGCUAUUUAUCCUUUUCUACUGUUUGGUACUGUUGAUUGUAAAUCGUUACGUAGAGCCGAUUAUUCCUGAGCUAUGCGAUUGACUGGAACCGUUUUUUCUCUUGUCGUUUUUGUUGACUCAGUCAGGGUUGAUUUUGAAAUACGUCAUUUGUAGAACUACUGCAGGCCAAUUUUU